rnacentral:rRNA from 1 species
CCUACGGGAGGCAGCAGUAGGGAAUUUUGCGCAAUGGGCGAAAGUCUGACGCAGCAACGCCGCGUGAUCGAGACGCCCUUCGGGGUGUAAAGCUCUGUCAGUGGGGACGAAACUUGACGGGAACCACAGAGGAAGCACCGGCUAACUCCGUGCCAGCAGCCGCGGUAAUACGGGGGGUGCAAGCGUUGUCCGGAAUCAUUGGGCGUAAAGAGUUCGUAGGCGGAACGGAAAGUUAGGUGUUAAAGGCAGUGGCUCAACUUCUGUACGGCACUUGAUACUUGCGAGCUGGAAUGCGGUAGAGGUAAGGGGAAUUCCUGGUGUAGCGGUGAAAUGCGUAGAUAUUAGGAGGAACAUCGGUGGCGUAAGCGCUUUACUGGGCCGUAAUUGACGCUGAGGAACGAAAGCCAGGGUAGCAAAUGGGAUUAGAUACCCGAGUAGUC